rnacentral:misc_RNA from 1 species
UCGCGGCUUAUCACCGGCAGUCCCCUUAGAGUGCCCAACUGAAUGAUGGCAACUAAGGGCGAGGGUUGCGCUCGUUGCGGGACUUAACCCAACACCUCACGGCACGAGCCGACGACAACCAUGCACCACCUGUAUAGGACGCCGAAGCACACCAUGUUUCCAUGGUUUUUCCCUAUAUUUCAAGCCUUGGUAAGGUUCUUCGCGUUGCGUCGAAUUAAGCCACAUGCUCCGCCGCUUGUGCGGGCCCCCGUCAAUUCCUUUGAGUUUUAACCUUGCGGUCGUAAUCCCCAGGCGGGGUGCUUAAUGCGUUAGCUUCGGCACGGAGGGAGUGGAUAACCCCCCACACCUAGCACCCAUCGUUUACGGCGUGGACUAC